GACGAACCGAGCGAACGUUGUUCGGAAUCACUGGGCUUAAAGGGCGCGUAGGCGGGUGCUCAAGUCCGUGGUGAAAUCCUCCGGCUCAACCGGAGAACUGCCUCGGAUACUGGGUGCCUCGAGGGUGGUAGGGGUAUGCGGAACUAUCGGUGGAGCGGUGAAAUGCGUUGAUAUCGAUAGGAACUCCGGUGGCGAAGGCGGCAUACUGGACCACCUCUGACGCUGAGGCGCGAAAGCCAGGGAGCAAACGGG
rnacentral:rRNA from 1 species